UGGGGAAUAUUGCACAAUGGGCGCAAGCCUGAUGCAGCGACGCCGCGUGAGGGAUGACGGCCUUCGGGUUGUAAACCUCUUUCAGCAGGGAAGAAGCGCAAGUGACGGUACCUGCAGAAGAAGCGCCGGCUAACUACGUGCCAGCAGCCGCGGUAAUACGUAGGGCGCAAGCGUUGUCCGGAAUUAUUGGGCGUAAAGAGCUCGUAGGCGGUUUGUCGCGUCUGCUGUGAAAACGCGAGGCUCAACCUCGCGCCUGCAGUGGGUACGGGCAGACUAGAGUGCGGUAGGGGAGACUGGAAUUCCUGGUGUAGCGGUGGAAUGCGCAGAUAUCAGGAGUAACACCGGUGGCGAAGGCGGGUCUCUGGGCCGUAACUGACGCUGAGGAGCGAAAGCAUGGGGAGCGAACA
rnacentral:rRNA from 1 species